rnacentral:lncRNA from 1 species
GUUGACAUGGCUUUGUCAAAUUGUCUGGUUGAUACUGACACCCAGUUCCCCUGUAGCCGUAACCCAGGUCCAGCAUGGCCAGGAUGAUGGAAGUGCCCAGGAUUGGGGGGAGUAGCUCAGCGGGGGACUCCGCGAGCAUUCCCCACGCUGCUUCAUGCACUGGUGCCUCAGGAUCUGCUCUAGCGUGGGCCUAUGUGAGGGCUCCACGGUCAGCAUCUGCGAGAUGAGGCUUCUCACCUAGGCUGACAGGUGGCUGGGUACUCCUGCCUUCCUGUAGCUUUGGACCUGUGCAAAGGUAAUUCCAGUAACUGGGAGUCACCUGUGAGCAUGAGAUAUAAGAGGAUACCCAGGCUCCAGAUGUCCACUGUGGUGCCAUAGUACACCCUACACGGAUACAGCUCUGGGGCCCAGUAGGCAACAAUGCUGCAGAACACGUCCAGCAUCUGUCCAGCCAUGAACCUUCAGGCUAGGCCAAAGUCACAGUGCUUGAUGCUUCCUUCAGCUCCAGAAGGACAGUGUCUGCCUUUAAGUCCCAGUGCUUGAUGCCCUGCACUUGGCAGUAGCCCAUGGCACUGGCCACCUGCCUGAACGCCCUGAUGAC